rnacentral:rRNA from 1 species
GCAUGCCUAACACAUGCAAGUCGAACGAACCCUUCGGGGUUAGUGGCGCACGGGUGCGUAACGCGUGGGAAUCUGCCCUUUGCUUCGGAAUAACAGUUAGAAAUGACUGCUAAUACCGGAUGAUGUCUUCGGACCAAAGAUUUAUCGGCAAAGGAUGAGCCCGCGUAGGAUUAGGUAGUUGGUGGGGUAAAGGCCUACCAAGCCGACGAUCCUUAGCUGGUCUGAGAGGAUGAUCAGCCACACUGGGACUGAGACACGGCCCAGACUCCUACGGGAGGCAGCAGUGGGGAAUAUUGGACAAUGGGCGAAAGCCUGAUCCAGCAAUGCCGCGUGAGUGAUGAAGGCCUUAGGGUCGUAAAGCUCUUUUACCCGGGAUGAUAAUGACAGUACCGGGAGAAUAAGCCCCGGCUAACUCCGUGCCAGCAGCCGCGGUAAUACGGAGGGGGCUAGCGUUGUUCGGAAUUACUGGGCGUAAAGCGUACGUAGGCGGUUAUUCAAGUCAGAGGUGAAAGCCCGGGGCUCAACCCCGGAACGGCCUUUGAAACUAGGUAGCUAGAGUCUUGGAGAGGUCAGUGGAAUUCCGAGUGUAGAGGUGAAAUUCGUAGAUAUUCGGAAGAACACCAGUGGCGA